GAUGAACGCUGGCGGCGUGCCUAAUACAUGCAAGUCGAGCGAACAGACGAGGAGCUUGCUCCUCUGACGUUAGCGGCGGACGGGUGAGUAACACGUGGAUAACCUACCUAUAAGACUGGGAUAACUUCGGGAAACCGGAGCUAAUACCGGAUAACAUGAUGAACCGCAUGGUUCAACAGUGAAAGACGGUCUUGCUGUCACUUAUAGAUGGAUCCGCGCCGCAUUAGCUAGUUGGUAAGGUAACGGCUUACCAAGGCAACGAUGCGUAGCCGACCUGAGAGGGUGAUCGGCCACACUGGAACUGAGACACGGUCCAGACUCCUACGGGAGGCAGCAGUAGGGAAUCUUCCGCAAUGGGCGAAAUCCUGACGGAGCAACGCCGCGUGAGUGAAGAAGGUCUUCGGAUCGUAAAACUCUGUUAUUAGGGAAGAACAAAUGUGUAAGUAACUAUGCACGUCUUGACGGUACCUAAUCAGAAAGCCACGGCUAACUACGUG
rnacentral:rRNA from 1 species